rnacentral:lncRNA from 12 species
CCGCCCCUCAGCACAGGGUCAGACCACCCUCAUCCACUCACAGCCCAAAUCUAAACCCACGGUAAACGCAGUAAAAUACACCCACCCACGUACCAUCUGCUGAUGUAUACCGAGGAUGCAUACAUUUGAAUUGGUCUUUUAAAAAUGUUUAUCAGUUAAUACUAUCCCCUGCCAAUCCCCACCCCGCCCCCCUGGUGAGGCUGUCAGGAUGAAAGGCAUGAAAGGCACUCAGAAGAAUCAACAGGAGAUGGUAGUUGGCCUGAGCAGGAGAAAACUUUGGUACCAUUCCCAGUUCUACCCCCGACUAAAUGAGUAGAAUGCACUGUCCCACGCAGAGUGCCACGUUUCAAAGGGGGAGUGGAGAAAUUGGACCGCAAGCCAUCAAGUGAUCAAAGGUUUGGAAAAGGCAGUGGGGACGGUUGCAGGAGCAGCGUGGGGAGGGGCAGGUGGAGGAGGAUAGCUGCAGAAGAUCUUCCAAGUGCCCGCAGGCCCCUCUAGACCGAAAGGGGCUGGAACAGCAGAAGCAGGCAUUUGGGGGAGGGGCAGGAGGGGACGUCUAGAAAGUGAGAGGCGCCCAGGUGAAAGAGCACGGGUCUGGGGGAGCUCCGGUCUGGUCUGGUUCGGGCCUCUCGGUGUGCGGGACGGCCUCUGGUCCCCGCGGGUCGGUGUCCCCGUCCAGGCCCCGGGGCUUCCGCGGAGCCCGGGAGCUGCCCCAUUCCUGCAACGGAGUUCAGCUGGCAGAGGAAGGUGCGAUCCUGGUGCCUCUGACCCCCUGGUGUCCUCGGGAAUGAAGGCCUUUGGGGUUCUUGUGGUCUUCGCCUCCUGCUUGAUGUCUCCUGCCCACAGCAGCUUCUGGCAGUUUCAGAGGAUGGUCAAACACAUCACAGGGCGGAGCGCCUUCUUCUCGUAUUAUGGAUAUGGCUGCUACUGUGGUCUUGGGGGCAAAGGGACCCCCAUGGAUGACACUGACAGGUGAGUCCAGAGGCUCCAGGCCUGCCUUCCUCUGAUUUGCACUGAAACCCAAGCCUUCGGGGUGGGGUGGGG